GUCCUCCGGGCCAUGAGAUCCGCAAAUGGAAGCGUCCUGGGAUAGAAUGUGACAAUCAGUUACCGUGUAUUGAGCGUUUAUAUGCAGAUCGAUCCUGAAAACACGUUAGUAUGAAGCAGAUGCUAUUAGCAGCCCCUUCCUACAGGUGGUGGCACUGAAGUCAUUUACUUGGGUCACACAGCUAGUCUGUCGUCAAAGUAUGCCUUUCGUACUCCUAGAUUUUGUUCUAAUGUUGAAAAACUGCCUGUUAUGCUGGGCACAGUGGCUCACACCUGUAAUCCUAGCACUUUGGGAGGCCGAGGCAAGAGGAUUGCUUGAGCCAGGAGUUCAAGACCAGCCUGGGCAACAGAGAGAGCCCUUCUCUCUACAGAGUUUUUUUUUUUAAUUAUCAGGGCAUGGUAGCACAUGCCUGUGGUCCCAGCUACUCCAGAGGCUAAGGUGGGAGGAUCCCUUGAGCCUGGGAGGUCAAGACUGCAGUGAGUUGAGAUUGUGCCACUGCAGUCCAGCCUGGGAGACACUGCAAGACCCUGUCUCAAAAAAAGCCAGCUGCCUGUUAGAGGCUCCAGGUGAAAUAAUCCUAAUUGAGAAGGAAAUAAAUAUGGAGAGGCCAUCUGUCCUGGAAAUCGGCUUGAACUCAGGAAAAAUCAGUGUGACCCAGACUAUCAUGUUCCCUGUAUUUCUUAUGACCAGUAUAUCUAGUCCCAAACCCUGACCUGUACUUCCCACUGGAGCCUAGAGAAGAGCCAUGGGUGCAGGAAUAGCAGGAUUCCAAAGGAAAGAAACAAUGACUUGACUCCAGGAGAGGUUUUGAGAUCAGGAGAGAAAAUGCAGAUUCUUCAAAGCUGAAGAAAUGUCAGACUCUGCAUCUAUUGUUACUUCAGAGGAGAAUAAAAUUGAAUCAUCAAUUUUACAAAAAAGACUACAAACAUUUAGGAAAUCAGUAGAGAAACACCCCAGAUUUAGCAAAGCUUGUAGAUGAUCAGAACCUCUCUAUAAGGAGAGAAACCUGAGAACAGAAUGGGAAGGCGAACUCAGCUCUUAGCUUUUUCUUAGUGUUUAUAAGCAAUCAGCUCCCAAAUCAGGGUGUUUUAACAACUGGGAAGCCAUCCCAUAUUUUCCAGUUUGGGAGGCUUUUCCUAGCACUUCGGGAGGCAUAGGCAGAAGGAUCACUUGAGCCCAAGAGCACGGGACCAGCCUGGACAACAUAGUGAGAUCCCAUUUCUACAAAAAAAACAAAAAUUAGCCAGGCGUGGUGGCAAGUGCCUGUGGUCCUAGCUGCUUGGGAGGCUGAGGUGGGAGGACUGCAUGAGUCCAGGAGAUUGAGGCUACAGUGAGCCAUAAUCGCACCAGUGCAUUCCAGCCUGAUACCCUAGAAGCUAAUACUAUGACACUGUGGUUCUGAAAAAAGAAAAGCUUUGUAUUGCAAGUCGACUCACAAGGAGACAGGAAUAUCAAGCUCAAGGCUGUCUCCCCGUGUUGGCUUUAAGGCAGUUAUUUUUAUUAGAAAAGGUUCAGGCGGUGGAUUCUGAGAUUAGUAGGUGAUUAUUAGUGGAAGGAAAGGGGAGAUGUGGAAAGUCCUUGGGCUUUCGCAGUUACCUCUUCAAGCUACUUAAUGGGUCUCAUGCAAAUUCAGGGACAGCAUGAAACCUGUGUUGAAAAUUCAGGCUGUGAUGUCAGCAAGCUCAUUCUGUGCAGACUCCAGUCAGCGUUAUUGGUUCCAACAGAUUUCUGCUUGUUCUUCUUUUAUCUUAUAGGGAGGGAGUUUCAGCAUUUCUUCAGCAUUUCAGCAAGUUGUUUUUUUUUUUUUUUUUUUUUUUUUUUUUUGAGUAGGAGUUUCGCUGCAACGCCCAGGCUGGAGUGCAAUAGCCUGAUCUCGGCUCACUGCAACUUCCGAUUCCCGGGUUCAAGUGAUUUUCCUGCCUCAGCCUCCCAAGCAGCUGGGACUACAGGUGCCCACCAACCUGCCAGGCCUCGAACUCCUGACCUCAUGUAAUCCACCCACUUCAGUGGGUCAAUCCCUCAAAGUGCUGGGAUUACAGGUGUGAGCCACUGCACCUGGCCAGCGAGUUGUUUCUUAUCUGCCAUCCUGCAGACUCAAGAAUUUCUGUUAGUUACUGAUUUCUUUAACUCUUUGGGGCACAGUUUCAGUAGCCACACAUUUUUUAAGGCUCCUAGAAAAUUAAAAUAGCACAAAAAUUGUAGUAUAUUUUAAAUAUCUGCAUUUAAAUAACAUUUUCACUCAACACAAGACCACAACUGGAUAUUUUAUUGGUGAUAACUUCAAAAAUCUAAAACUUAAGACUUUUAAUAAAGAUGAAACCAUACUAAAUGGCCCUACUUUGUACUCUUUUCCUUUUUUGUAGAGACAGAGCCUUGCUAUGUUGCCCAGGUUUGUCUUGAACUCCUGGGCUCAUGCGAUCCUCCCACCUUGUCCUCCCAAACUGCUGGGAUUAAAGACGUGAGCCACCGCACCUCGCUCCUACUUGGUAUUUUAUGGUAACUCUUCAGCCAUCGCUCCCCAACUAGGACCUCUUUUUAAGAGGAAGGGAGGCUGAAGGUCAGCAGCAAAGGACUAGAGUCCCCUCACCUUGGUCAGUGAAUGGGAGGGACACACUUCCACUACCUUGUCUCCUGGGUUUUAUUUUUGUUUUAAUAAUUCUUAACUUUUAAAAACUUCACAAAUCUCUAACAGCCAAAUCUUCUGGGUUUUAAACAUGGUCACAGAUUUUUUUUUGCCACUCAUCCCAUCAAGAAGUGGGGCAUCUGUCCCUCUGCCUUGUAUCUGGGCAGCUUGUGACUGCUACCAAUGAAAUACAAUGAAAUACAGAUGUGGUGUGACCUCCAGGGUGAGGUCAUAAAAGGCCUUGCAACCUCUAUCUUGUUUGCUAGGAGAACUUGCACUUGGAGCUAGUGUAAGAAGUCUGGUUACCCUGAGAGCACCAUGCUGGAGUGGCUGCACAUAGCUCUCUAGUGGAGAGUCCAGAGGUGCUUUUGCUUCUUGUAAAAUAGAAACAAAGUCAAACUAAUAGACACUGCCAUUGAUUAGUUGUGGAAGGUGGUCAUAUAGGUAUUUGUUAGGUUUUGUGUAUUUGAACUGAGGCAGAAUAGGGUCUGGAGGCAGGGAACUGAAGGCCAGUUCACCUUGACUUCCUAGAACUAAAUCGAAAGAAAAACCCCAACUUUCCACGCAUAAGUAACAAAAGGACCAGAGGCUACUCCCUUUGCCAAUGCCCACCUUUUCUGAGGGGCAGAUGGGAAAUUGAAGGUACCUCUGACUGGCUGCUUUUUGCAAUCAGACGUUUGCACAGGAGUGUAACUUUGUAACUUCACUUCAGCCUCUGAUUGGUUGCAACCAAUCAGACUGACUGAGGUUGGUUCAUUUACAUGGGGUGAACACCAAGUGGCCAAUGGGAAACCUCUAGGGGGUGUUUAAGCUGCUGCUUGGCCGGCUCCCACACUGUGGCAUGUACUUUCAAUAAAUCUCUGCUUUUGCUGCUUCAUUCUUACCUUGCUUUGCUGUGCGUUUUGUCCAGUUCUUUGUUCAAAAUGCCAAGAACCUGGACAAUUUGCAUCAAGACCCUCUACCGGUAACAGAACCGUUUCAUUUCAAAUAAAGACCAAGGAAAGGGGCAUAAUUAGCAAUGUUAUCUCUGGCUGUUGGUUUGAAGACUCUGACUCCAGCCUCAGAAACAAACCUUUUCCAGAAAGGGGAGGAAGAUGGUUGUAGGUUCUGCUGCAGGGAAGUGUUCUCCAGCCAUUUGAGCCACCUCAGCUGAAGCUCCAGCCACUGUGGAACGAGAUGAGUUGUGCCUCUGGGUCUUGCUUGAAAUCUGACCACCAAGUUGUGAGCAUAAUAAAGGGGCUGCUGUUUUACACUAUUAAGUUUUGGGGUGUUUUUCAUGCAACAAUAGAUAACCGGAACAAUAGGCAUACAUGAAUAAAUAAACCUUGUAGAAGAUUCAAUGAAUACAGAUGUAUACAAACAAAAUGAAGGUCUGGGCACAGUGGUUCACACCUGUAAUCCCAGCACUUCGGGAGGCCAAGGCGGGGAGGAUCACUUGAGGUCAGGAGUUCAAGAC
rnacentral:lncRNA from 1 species